GCCCCAUCUGCUCCUUGCGACCCCCUCCCACCGCCGCCACGCUCCUGUGCCCUCCUCGCCUCGCCUCCUGUAACCACGCCGCCGCCCCCUCUCGCCCAGUUUCGCUCGUGCUCUGGUCAUCGGCGCCGCGCGGGACGAGCUGCGGCCACGUCUCCGCCGUCGUCGUCCACCGGAUACCCGGACCUGCGUAGCCUGGCAGCGCUUGAGAGCCGCACGGCCGCCCAACCUGAAACAGCUGCCGCAGCGGUUCCGCUUUCUGUUUUCAAGUAAUAUCGGUGAAACGGGAGGCGAGCUCCCACAGAUCUGUAUCGAUCCCAGUAGGCUCAGUCCCGGUAGAUCUUUACGUUGAACGCAUGUCUUUGGCUGUUGUUUUGCUUGUGCGUUCUCGGGUUCGACUUAGCAAUGAAUUUCUCAGUUUAUGCAGUUUCGUUGUGGUUGAUUGACGUCCCAGUGAAGAUAAAAUUCUGGUCCGAAGACGACUGAUGACUGGUUUUAGCCUCAAGCCAUCUUGUCUCGCCGUUUUUGGUGAGCUGGUGGCUUGGGCCUAAAACUAUUGUUGAGGGUCGUCGAUGAUGGCCAUAUUAGCUAUGAGAUCUGAGGGAUACCUUCAAUAUCGUUACAUAAUGCUUCCUUCUCAUUUGGUUUCUACUAUACACCAGGGUGUAGCAUUGAGUGUUUUAUUAUUGUCCUGUUCAGUAGUUUUGUCUGUGGUAUCUAGCUCAAGUAGCAGUUAGUGUCCCAAUGAAGAAAAAAUUUCAGUACCAAAGAUGAAUGGUCGAUUAGUUUUAGCUUCAAGCCAUUUUAGUGUAUUCUUUGUACCUGUGGCUUGUGGCUAAAACUAGUCUGCUUUUAAUGUUCAUCCGUGAUGGCCAUAGCUAUGAGAUCUGAGGGAUGCCGACCAUUAGAGCCUCAUACCCCAUUUCAUCUUUGGUCAACGUCAUUUGCUCUGCUAUUUAUAGUAUACAUUCUGUGUCUGAUGAGUUUGAUUUGUUCCAGUUUGACUGCCCUAAGUAUUUUUUCUGUUAGCAGAUCUUGCACUGUACUGUCUUCUCGUCAGCCAAAGAAUUUUUUAAAUGGUCUUAGCUCCAUAUUAGCUAGGAGAUCUGACGGACAUAAUCAAGUGGGUCCUGUUAGCCAAUAAUUUUUUAAUUUUUUUUUAGGGCCAUAUUAGCUCGGAGAUCUGAUGGGCAUAAUCAAUUGGACCUGUUAGCCAAGAAUUUUUUUAAGUUGUUUUAGGGCCAUAUUAGCUAGGAGAUCUGAUGGUCAUCAUCAAUAUGAUUACAUGGUCCUUACUUUCUCUCUUGGUUUUUGAGACUUGGUUCUUGAUGUAGAUGGAAGUGAGGAUCCUUUCCCCAGCUGAUCGACUAUGAUUAUACUGUGCGCACAUGUAAUCCUUUAUCAGAGGAUUCCAAGCCAGAAAUCUGAUCCAUCUCGCAUGACAGCCUCUAUAUCUCCCCUUUCUCUCUUAUACUUGACCUCUAUUUUUCUUAUUUGAUUGGUAAAUUGAAUGGAAGUGAGGAUCCUUUCCCCAAAUGAUCGACUAUGAUUAUACUGUGCGCAACUGUAAUCCUUUAUCAGAGGAUUCCAAGCCAGAAAUCUGAUCCAUCUUUGUUAUCUUCUGCAACCUUGGUUUUUCAAUUUUGUUUUUAUUUUACUAAGAAAACUCAAUGGACUUAGCGUCCUUUCUAACUAUACUGUGCACAAAUUUAAUCCUUUAUAACAGGAUUCCAAACCAGAGAUCUGAUGCACCUUGCUUUGUUUUGUUCUAUUUUAACUUUCUGAUUGGGCUUUGUUUCAUUUUUUGAAGUUGAAUGGAAGUGAUUAUCCUUUCCCCAAAUGAUCGACAUUGAUUAAACUGUGCGCAACUGUAAUCCUUUAUCAGAGGAUUCCAAGCCAGAAAUCUGAUCCAUCUCGCUCAACAAUCUCAACCCCCGUUGAUCUGUUGGUAUUGUUUUUUUGUCCUGAUUUGUAAAUGGAAUAGAAGUGAGGAUUCUUUAUCUCUUUUGAUUGUGCUUUGUUUAAAAAUUAUCUUGUGUUUACUGUCAUUUCAUAUUGUGUUAUUGUUUUCUAUUGAUCUGGUCUCAAAUCUUUCUCGAUGAAGAGAGUACAAGCAGACGGGCGGUCUGAACUGAUGCCAUGUUGAUAUGUCUGCAUCAUCAGUGCUUACCCUUGUGGAUAGCAUCAGAGAGAAAACAAAGAUCUUUCUUUUUGAACAAAUAGGUUUCUGAUCUCUUAUUCUUAAAUUCAUGCCUUAGCUCAAAUUCUUCCUCAUAGACAGAUGGUGUUCAGUUUAUUACUUGACUCCAGUCUUUGUGGGACAGAUCGGGUGAGGAUAGUGGGAUGGUUUACUUACCAACCGUUUUGCAGCAUUUGCCAUUGCUCUGAUUCAAAUGGUCUAACCGAGAUUCUCCAUUUCAGCUAAGCUUUGAAUUCUUUUGAUUCUUCUUGUGUGGCUUUGGGUGGCAAAUGAGGUGAAUAUUGUAUGCUAAACACUGAAUCUUGGAUAUGUUUACAAAACUCCGCUUAUUAUCUGAUGCCACACCUGCUUUGAACCACCUUUUCAAGUUCUCUUUUCUGCACUAUUUCUUCAUCACUCGUGUAUUAAAUUUGAUUGAUGGCAGUGAUUUGAAUCUUACCCGCGCUUCUGAUUACUCCAUGAAGUACAAGGGAAAACAUGGUUGAAUUUCUUAAUAUGAGCCAUUCAAAUCUUGUUCUCUCUCUUAGAUUUGUGUGUUCUGGUUUUACCUUGGCUGUGAUGAUUAACACUUUCAGCAAACAUGCCAGUUCUGCUUCUGAGAAUUCAUGACUGAAAAUUUUGUUAUACAAGAUCUGAGCCAUUUUGCACUUAGGAAAGCUGUGUUCUCCAAUGGUAGAUACCUGAAGAUUAAUGAUUAAUUACCUUGGUCUCUUCCAUAAGUUCUAUCAGCAUGUAAAUUCUUCUCAGCAUGUAAAUUCUUCUGAAACACCAUCUGAAUUGCCAAUGACGCCACACCCAACAUUUGGAGGUGCAGAUAGCUCUAGGAUCCUGUUUACAGGAUGAACCUACCUGGAGGCGCUGUAUCCACAUGACAUUCAUGGGCAAGUCUGAGGUUCUUAUGAUCACGGAACUAUUCUUCCUGUUUUCAAGUUGACUUCUGCUCUUUUUAAUUGGUAAAUUAAGUGGUUGUGUAUUUAUCUUUACCGAGUUUAACUAUCCUCUCACAAGUACCUCUGAUUUGCGGAAGAGGCUGAAAAACUCGCAGAUUGUGUGUUGUCAUCAGCUUCGUCUCUUUGUCCUACGAGAUGGGAGUUAAAUAACGACACCAGAUUCACUCAUAUACAUUCUGGCCUGAAUCAUCUGUGCAGCAGAACCAAUGUAAAAGUUAUCUUAGGAAACAAACUCAUGUUCAAUGUGAUAGUCAGUUCAGCGUUGCAGUCUUAUUUGCCUUAAACAGAACUGAUGGAAUAAAAACCUGAAAACAUAAAUAGAAACUGCUCUAUGAAAUAUAAAAAAGCUGGGUGUACCAUUGUCCUGUUUGAGUAGCUUUGUUUGUGGUAUCUAGCUUGAGCAGCAUUGUCCAGAUGAAGAACAACAUAUAGUACCUAAGAUGGCUUGAAUUAGUUUUAGCUUCAAUCCAUUGUAGUCUUUAUUUCUUCUGAUUUGUGGUUAAAACUAGUUAUUGUUCAUGCUCUAUUUCAUAAGAGUGGAAUAGGAAAUUAAGAUGAGGAUGGUAUCAUCAUAAAGAAAGAUAAGAGUAAUAUAAUAUCGUAUGCCAAUAGCUAUGAGAUCCGAGGGAUGCGUCUAUUUGAGACAUGAUUUGUCCCCAGGAGUUGAUUUGGCUCUGCAACACUUCUAUUCCAUUUUAAGAUGUAGCCCAAUAGAAUGUGAUGCCCACCUUAUGUCGCCCUUUUGUUAUCUAGGGAGGUUUUCUUCUCCAUGAAAUAACAUUCUACAGAUGAUUAGAAUAUUUGGCUUAGAUGUCCAUGUGCCUCUUCCUUUCACUAGUGGACACCAGUGGCGCUUCAUUCUCUUCUACAUUAGUAUGCUUUUGUAUUUUCCUCUUCAUCUUGUUUCAUUAGACUUGUCAACAGUAGGUCGCCUUUGAGAGAACCUUGUGGAUUUUGUCUUUCAUGCUGGUUCCGUUGCGGGCGUUACACUGAUCUAGAGCCUCCACCGUGUCUCACCCUCCACAUCUGUUGCUGGGUGUUGGAUUGGUUCUUAAACAUUUUGAAUCUAAUCUUUGUUUUUCUAUGGUUGUAUGGCUGCUGUUUCUCAUUUUUGUCAGUGGCCUUCAUAAUCCCGGAUUAACUAGCUUAGCUGUUCUUCUGAUUCAUGGGAGGCCAAGACCGAUGUCUGGGAGUUUCGUUGAUAGCGCCUUCUUUACUAGUGGAGGUGCUUCAUUAGUAACUUGCCACACAGACAAAUUGAUUUCUGCUUUUCUGUUUGUUCAUGUGUUGAUGUUCUGUUGGUUUGAUUCGGGGAGCUCAGUCCCAUUGUCCGGCCGCCGUUCUCUUGGUGGAUCUGAGUUUACCAAGCUCCCGAAAGGUAUUCAGGUGGCGCUUAGAGCACAAAUCCGUCUGAUGGAUCUUGGGUUACGCUCGCCCCCAAAUUCCUGUUUAAUCUUUCUUCAUGCUUUCUUUUGUCUUGUAUAAUUCGAGUUCUUGUUGCACCACUAUUUUGGUGUUUUGAACUUUUGGGGGUGCAGUGAUUAUAAAACAUUCCUCGUACUGACAGGAGAUCCCUGUGAACGACUCCUAUACACCCAUAGAAUCUGAGCAUCAACAAACCAUGCUUGUUUCAUUGGAUUCUUAAUUUGUUUUCUUAUUUUUAAUAUGCGGUUCAUUGUUAUUUUCACCUGAUCUGUCUCUUUUCAUUUCUGUGUUUUGAUUUUGUUUGUUUCUUUUGGAGAGUUGCGAUGAGGAUAACAAGCUCCCUCUUCUGAAAGCAUUGACGACAUCGCUGGCAGAAUCGAACCAAUUAAAUAUUGCCACCACUGAGCAACUCCUUUUCAGUUGUUGACUAUUUGGCAUUCGCUUAUUCUUGCCUUCAAGUCUGCAAAAUCUGUUUGGAUCAUGAGGAGGUACUGAUGCAUAAUCCAACACUUGAUCCGAGGGCGGCUUGAGCCGCCCAUGUGAUGUCAUCUUUGCAUCUGAAUCCACCAUUGAUUUUUUUCUCAUUUGGUCCAGUUUUUUGUUAAUCUGGUCAGUAUCAGAGGAUGAAACCUUGAAACAAUCUUAGGACACCUUCUGACACAGUGCUUAUUUUCCUGUGAAUGAGAAGUCAUUUAUAUUCUGAUGAUACACCCUGUUUCUUUGAUUUUUUGGCCCAAGGUUUGAUGUUUAGGGCCCUGUUUUCUAUUAGAACGCAAUUGGAGCCUAUGAUGAUUAGCUUUAUGUUGGAAUUACCGUCAGAUAACAAAUGACGAUAUUUUUGCGGCUUUCUGAGGCUUAAUACAGCUUAGCUCUUCUACUUUUUUUUGUAUUUUUAACUUUCUUAACAACUCCUCCUCCCCUGCCAAGUGUCCUCCUUCGGAACCUUUGUAGUUUGGUCUGGGAUGGCAUCCCCGGUCGCACUUGUUUUUUUUCAGCUGUGUGAGUGAUUUUAAACAGGUCUCUAGGGAUUCUCUAUUAUCUUUGUUUGCUCUGAUUUUUUUUUGCAUAUAGUAUCUAAAAUGUGCCAGUUGCCGCAUCUCAACAUUAUCAGAAUAUGGUUUGACAACCAUGUCUGAGGUUCCAACUUCGAGGUACAGGUCGGCCAUGACCGUAACUGUCCCAAGAGGCUGCAAGAUAGCAUUGCUUCUUUCUUAGUAGCAGAGCUUACGCUCUUCUGUUUUUCUUUAUACUUUUGAACCCAAAAAGUUGAACCAGUUGGCUGUAGAUUUGUGGAGAAUAUACACUUUUUUGCUGUAUUAAUAGAACAUUUAUUGUAAUCCUGUUACUCUUAUCUUAUUUUGACAUUUGUAAACAUGUCUCGGUGCCAUCCAUAAAUCGACUUUCCCUCUA